rnacentral:rRNA from 1 species
UACGUAGGGGGCAAGCGUUAUCCGGAUUUACUGGGUGUAAAGGGUGCGCAGGCGGAUUUUUAAGUCAGCGGUCAAAUCGUGGGGCUCAACCCCAUCCAGCCGUUGAAACUGGGGAUCUAGAGUGUGCGAGAGGUAUGCGGAAUGCGUGGUGUAGCGGUGAAAUGCAUAGAUAUCACGCAGAACUCCGAUUGCGAAGGCAGCAUACCGGCGCCCAACUGACGCUGAAGCACGAAAGCGUGGGUAUCGAACAGG